CAUUGUUGGGGCUUAGGAGGCAGAGAGGCAGAUUCUUCGGGCAUCACUACCAUGGCCUGGGCUCUGCUUGUCCUUACUCUCCUCACUCAGGGCACAGGUGA
rnacentral:pre_miRNA from 1 species